UCAUACUCUCAUAAGUGCACUCUCUUUCAUAAUCAACUCGUUUAGUGAAAAGAACGACACGUCUAAGGUUAUUUACGUUCACUGGAAAUACGGUCUAUAUCAUUCUGAAGGCAACUAUUUUAAAAGGAUGUUUAACUUGGACCUAAUAUUGGAACAAUAGGAUAGUAUAACUGUAUUUUCUAAUCCUGUAUCGUUCUUACUAGAACAGGAGUAAAAAAAACAUGGCGUCGCCUUCACGAAGAAGGAAUAUGGUUGUUAAUCAAGAACACACAAUUGAAGAGUGGCAGCACAGAGACAGGACCUCAGCGCUGCAUUUGACACUGUGGAUCCGAUCAUUGGCGAUUGCUACAACGAAUGGAGGAAAAAUUUGGAAUUACAGGAUCUGCACCCGUCUUAUAAAUACAUAUAAUGUAACUCACCGUACUCAGUGAAUUGUGAUUGAUGAUGUGCUCUCCAAACAGUUUGAGUUGACGUUUUGCUUGGGAUUGUUGUUUUUCACCCUGUAUAUAUCAAAAAUGUUGAUAAAAUCAACUCGCUCCUGGUGUUGAUUGUUACACUGUUACACUGAUGAUAUCCAGGUUUAUGUGUCUUUUAACCCACAUUCGUUAGACAGUAAAAUACCUUCAAUUUUAUUACAAAAUGUGUACGGUACUAUUCGAACAUGGAUGUGCAAAAAUAAGUUGUUUGUGUAUGAGGACAAAACUGAACUUCCUUUAAUUGGUCAACAAUUUGAUAAGUUGGUGUUAACCUUGCAGGCAUUAAAGCGGUCGAUAAUGUUAAGAUUAUCUUUUGAUCUAUGAAGAAAGAUUAUUAUUAGACUUUUGUAGUUUUCAUCAGUUGCAUAAUAUCAGAAGAAUCAGCACAAGCGUGAAUGUUUCUGCUUUAAGUACUCAUAAGUACUCAUUCAUUUGUCACAAGCACAAUCGAUUGUUGCAAUAGUUUAUUUUAUGGAUUUACCAAGCUGCUAAAUUGAGAUGCUUCAAAGAAUUUAGAAUUCGGCGGCCCGUCUUCUAACAAAAACAAUUAGAAGGGCUCAUAUUACCCACGUUCUUUUCGACUUACAUUGGUUGCCAAUAAACAUGUAUUGAGUUUAAAAUCAACGUUUUAAAUUGGAAAUGCUUACGUAAUACUGGACCAUCGUAUCUUGCUGAUCUCUUACAGGCCACAGUUGUUCUCGAUACAGUUUAAGUUCCUAUAACGGUAUAACAUCCUGAACCUCGGGGACAGAAACUUCGCAAUUAUUAUGCUGCAUUCAAGCUUUGGAACUGCCUUCCUACUGAUUUUAAAAGAACCACUUCACUGAAUACAUUUAAAAGUAAAUUGAAAAAAUCUUUUUUUACAAGGCCUUUGAUUAUAUUUCGAAAGUGUAGUUUACCUUCGCCUACUUACAGUAUGUGGUGUACUCGACAGUUUUAACAACAACACACAACAACGACACACAACAACUAGAUUUCGAGUCUUUAAAGCUUUUGUGCCCCUCUUGUUUUGUCAAACGUCUGCUGGGGUACAUAUGGGCUGUAUUUCAAUAGGUGACCAGACCAGUGCUUUUUUAAACUGAGAUUUGAAUUGAUUUACAGUUUUGGAAUCAAUUACAUGACUAGGCAGAGAUUUCCAACAGUUAAUACUUCUGACGGAGAAAACAUUCUGUCUUGCUUUUAACUUUACAUGUGGUUUGUAGGUCAUGAACUGGUGUCCUCUUGUAGAUAAUACUUCACUCAUAUUAAAGAACUUAUUUACAUCAACAUUAUCAAUGCCUCGCUUUAUUUUGAAGAUUUGGAUCAUGUCGGCACGUUGCCUUUUAAACGAUAUGUUGAUAGUUUUAGGUAUUUUAAACUUUCCGGAUAUUCGAGGUUGUGUAUAGUUGGUAUAAAUUUAGUAGGCCUCUGUUGCACCUUUUGUAACAUAUAUUCGUCCCUUUUAAAUAUGAGACACCAAACUGAAUUUCAAUAUUCAAGAGAUGGGCGGAGUAUAUUUUUAUGUAAUUGAA
rnacentral:lncRNA from 1 species